rnacentral:rRNA from 1 species
AACGUAGGAGACAAACGUUAUCCGGAGUUACUGGGCGUAAAGGGCGUGCAGGUGGUCUGUUAAGUCUGGCGUGAAAGCUCUCGGCUAAACCGGGAGAGGUCGUUGGAUACUGGCGGACCAGAGGACGGUAGAGGCGUGUGGAAUUCCGGGUGUAGUGGUGAAAUGCGUAGAGAUCCGGAGGAACCCCAGAGGCGAAGGCGGCGUCCUGGCCCAUUUCUGACGUUCAGACAUGACAGCAUGGGGAGCGAACGGG